rnacentral:rRNA from 1 species
UUAAUACCGCAUACGCCCUGAGGGGGAAAGCGGGGGAUCGAAAGACCUCGCGUUAUACGAGCAGCCGACGUCUGAUUAGCUAGUUGGUGAGGUAAGAGCUCACCAAGGCGACGAUCAGUAGCGGGUCUGAGAGGAUGAUCCGCCACACUGGGACUGAGACACGGCCCAGACUCCUACGGGAGGCAGCAGUGGGGAAUUUUGGACAAUGGGGGCAACCCUGAUCCAGCCAUGCCGCGUGUCUGAAGAAGGCCUUCGGGUUGUAAAGGACUUUUGUCAGGGAGGAAAUCCCGCUGGUUAAUACCCGGCGGGGAUGACAGUACCUGAAGAAUAAGCACCGGCUAACUACGUGCCAGCAGCCGCGGUAAUACGUAGGGUGCGAGCGUUAAUCGGAAUUACUGGGCGUAAAGCGUGCGCAGGCGGUUGUGCAAGUCUGAUGUGAAAGCCCCGGGCUUAACCUGGGAACGGCAUUGGAGACUGCACAGCUAGAGU